GUGAACGCUGGCGGUAGACCUAACUCAUGCACGUCGAACGGCAGCACCGUAAGAGCUUGCUCUUACGGGUGGCGAGUGGCGGACGGGUUAGGAAUACAUCGGAAUCUACUUUUUCGUGGGGGAUAACGUAGGGAAACUUACGCUAAUACCGCAUACGACCUACGGGUGAAAGCAGGGGAUCUUCGGACCUUGCGCGAUUGAAUGAGCCGAUGUCGGAUUAGCUAGUUGGCGGGGUAAAGGCCCACCAAGGCGACGAUCCGUAGCUGGUCUGAGAGGAUGAUCAGCCACACUGGAACUGAGACACGGUCCAGACUCCUACGGGAGGCAGCAGUGGGGAAUAUUGGACAAUGGGCGCAAGCCUGAUCCAGCCAUACCGCGUGGGUGAAGAAGGCCUUCGGGUUGUAAAGCCCUUUUGUUGGGAAAGAAAAGCAGCAGGUUAAUACCCCGCUGUUCUGACGGUACCCAAAGAAUAAGCACCGGCUAACUUCGUG
rnacentral:rRNA from 1 species